UAGGAACCGUGAGAUUAAGCCAUCGCGGCAGGUGCUCACGUUAAGCCCACUGACUUUCAUGUCCCUAUCUACUAUCUAGCGAAACCACAGCCAAGGGAACGGGCUUGGAAUAAUUAGCGGGGAAAGAAGACCCUUUUGAGCUUGACUCUAAUCUGGCAGUGUAAGGAGACAUAAGAGGUGUAGAAUAAGUGGGAGAUAUUAGACUUCGGUUUGGUAUCGACAAUGAAAUACCACUACUCUUAUUGUUUCCUUACUUACUUGAUUAAAUGGAACGUGUAUCAUUUCCUAGCCAUUAUACGGAUAUAAUUAUUAUGUCUUAUGGUAUUGGGUUUUGAUGCAAGCUUCUUGAUCAAAGUAUCACGAGUUUGUUAUAUAAUCGCAAACAAAUUCUUUAAUGAGAGAAUGCAUUUAUGUAUUAUU
rnacentral:ncRNA from 1 species